rnacentral:rRNA from 2 species
GGUUAAGUUAAUAAGGGCGCACGGUGGAUGCCUUGGCACUAGGAGCCGACGAAGGACGUGACAAACGACGAUAUGCCUUGGGUAGCUGUAAGUAAGCGAUGAUCCAGGGAUUUCCGAAUGGGGGAACCCAACAGGUAAUACCUGUUACCUACAUCUGUUAAGGAUGUGAGGAGGAAGACGCAGUGAACUGAAACAUCUAAGUAGCUGCAGGAAGAGAAAGCAAAAGCGAUUGCCUUAGUAGCGGCGAGCGAAACGGCAGAAGGGCAAACCGAAGAGUUUACUCUUCGGGGUUGUAGGACUGCAAUGUGGACUCAAAGAUUAUAGAAGAAUGAUUUGGGAAGAUCAGCCAAAGAGAGUAAUAGCCUCGUAUUUAAAAUAGUCUUUGUACUUAGCAGUAUCCUGAGUACGGCGGGACACGUGAAAUCCCGUCGGAAUCUGGGAGGACCAUCUCCCAACCCUAAAUACUCCCUAGUGACCGAUAGUGAACCAGUACCGUGAGGGAAAGGUGAAAAGCACCCCGGGAGGGGAGUGAAAUAGAACCUGAAACCGUGUGCCUACAACAAGUUCGAGCCCGUUAAUGGGUGAGAGCGUGCCUUUUGUAGAAUGAACCGGCGAGUUACGUUAUGAUGCGAGGUUAAGUUGAAGAGACGGAGCCGUAGGGAAACCGAGUCUGAAUAGGGCGCCUUAGUAUCAUGACGUAGACCCGAAACCAUGUGACCUACCCAUGAGCAGGUUGAAGGUGCGGUAAGACGCACUGGAGGACCGAACCAGGGCACGUUGAAAAGUGCUUGGAUGACUUGUGGGUAGCGGAGAAAUUCCAAACGAACUUGGAGAUAGCUGGUUCUCUCCGAAAUAGCUUUAGGGCUAGCGUCGACAUUAGAGAUUCUUGGAGGUAGAGCACUGUUUGGGUGAGGGGUCCAUCCCGGAUUACCAAUCUCAGAUAAACUCCGAAUGCCAAUGAAUUAUGGUCGGCAGUCAGACUGCGAGUGCUAAGAUCCGUAGUCGAAAGGGAAACAGCCCAGACCACCAGCUAAGGUCCCAAAAUAAUUGUUAAGUGGAAAAGGAUGUGGGGUUGCACAGACAACUAGGAUGUUAGCUUAGAAGCAGCUAUUCAUUCAAAGAGUGCGUAAUAGCUCACUAGUCGAGUGACCCUGCGCCGAAAAUGUACCGGGGCUAAAACAAUUUACCGAAGCUGUGGAUACCUUUAUAGGUAUGGUAGGAGAGCGUUCUAUGUGUGAUGAAGGUAUACCGUGAGGAGUGCUGGAACGCAUAGAAGUGAGAAUGCCGGUAUGAGUAGCGAAAGACAGGUGAGAAUCCUGUCCACCGUAAGACUAAGGUUUCCAGGGGAAGGCUCGUCCGCCCUGGGUUAGUCGGGACCUAAGGAGAGACCGAAAGGUGUAUCCGAUGGACAACAGGUUGAUAUUCCUGUACUAGAGUAUGUAGUGAUGGAGGGACGCAGUAGGCUAACUAAAGCAGACGAUUGGAAGAGUCUGUCUAAGCAGUGAGGUGUGAAUUGAGUCAAAUGCUUAAUUCUAUAACAUUGAGCUGUGAUGGGGAGCGAAGUUUAGUAGCGAAGUUAGUGACGUCACACUGCCAAGAAAAGCUUCUAGCGUUUAAACAUACUCUACCCGUACCGCAAACCGACACAGGUAGUCGAGGCGAGUAGCCUCAGGUGAGCGAGAGAACUCUCGUUAAGGAACUCGGCAAAAUGACCCCGUAACUUCGGGAGAAGGGGUGCUGACUUUAAGUCAGCCGCAGUGAAUAGGCCCAAGCAACUGUUUAUCAAAAACACAGCUCUCUGCUAAAUCGUAAGAUGAUGUAUAGGGGGUGACGCCUGCCCGGUGCUGGAAGGUUAAGAGGAGUGCUUAGCGUAAGCGAAGGUAUGAAUUGAAGCCCCAGUAAACGGCGGCCGUAACUAUAACGGUCCUAAGGUAGCGAAAUUCCUUGUCGGGUAAGUUCCGACCCGCACGAAAGGCGUAAUGAUUUGGGCACUGUCUCAACGAGAGACUCGGUGAAAUUUUAGUACCUGUGAAGAUGCAGGUUACCCGCGACAGGACGGAAAGACCCCAUGGAGCUUUACUGCAGUUUGAUAUUGAGUGUCUGUACCACAUGUACAGGAUAGGUAGGAGUCUAAGAGAUCGGGACGCCAGUUUCGAAGGAGACGCUGUUGGGAUACUACCCUUGUGUUAUGGCCACUCUAACCCAGAUAGGUGAUCCCUAUCGGAGACAGUGUCUGACGGGCAGUUUGACUGGGGCGGUCGCCUCCUAAAAGGUAACGGAGGCGCCCAAAGGUUCCCUCAGAAUGGUUGGAAAUCAUUCGCAGAGUGUAAAGGUAUAAGGGAGCUUGACUGCGAGAGCUACAACUCGAGCAGGGACGAAAGUCGGGCUUAGUGAUCCGGUGGUUCCGUAUGGAAGGGCCAUCGCUCAACGGAUAAAAGCUACCCUGGGGAUAACAGGCUUAUCUCCCCCAAGAGUUCACAUCGACGGGGAGGUUUGGCACCUCGAUGUCGGCUCGUCGCAUCCUGGGGCUGUAGUCGGUCCCAAGGGUUGGGCUGUUCGCCCAUUAAAGCGGCACGCGAGCUGGGUUCAGAACGUCGUGAGACAGUUCGGUCCCUAUCCGUCGCGGGCGUAGGAAAUUUGAGAGGAUCUGCUCCUAGUACGAGAGGACCAGAGUGGACUUACCGCUGGUGUACCAGUUGUCUUGCCAAAGGCAUCGCUGGGUAGCUAUGUAGGGAAGGGAUAAACGCUGAAAGCAUCUAAGUGUGAAACCCACCUCAAGAUGAGAUUUCCCAUGAUUAUAUAUCAGUAAGAGCCCUGAGAGAUGAUCAGGUAGAUAGGUUAGAAGUGGAAGUGUGGCGACACAUGUAGCGGACUAAUACUAAUAGCUCGAGGACUUAUCCAA